GAUGAACGCUGGCGGCGUGCCUAAUACAUGCAAGUCGAGCGAACAGAUAAGGAGCUUGCUCCUUUGACGUUAGCGGCGGACGGGUGAGUAACACGUGGAUAACCUACCUAUAAGACUGGGAUAACUUCGGGAAACCGGAGCUAAUACCGGAUAACAUAUUGAACCGCAUGGUUCAAUAGUGAAAGGCGGCUUUGCUGUCACUUAUAGAUGGAUCCGCGCCGUAUUAGCUAGUUGGUAAGGUAACGGCUUACCAAGGCAACGAUACGUAGCCGACCUGAGAGGGGGAGCGGCCACACUGGAACUGAGACACGGUCCAGACUCCUACGGGAGGCAGCAGUAGGGAAUCUUCCGCAAUGGGCGAAAGCCUGACGGAGCAACGCCGCGUGAGUGAUGAAGGUCUUCGGAUCGUAAAACUCUGUUAUCAGGGAAGAACAAAUGUGUAAGUAACUGUGCACAUCUUGACGGUACCUGAUCAGAAAGCCACGGCUAACUACGUG
rnacentral:rRNA from 1 species